GAUGAACGCUGGCGGCGUGCCUAAUACAUGCAAGUCGAGCGAACAGACGAGGAGCUUGCUCCUCUGACGUUAGCGGCGGACGGGUGAGUAACACGUGGAUAACCUACCUAUAAGACUGGGAUAACUUCGGGAAACCGGAGCUAAUACCGGAUAAUAUAUUGAACCGCAUGGUUCAAUAGUGAAAGACGGUUUUGCUGUCACUUAUAGAUGGAUCCGCGCCGCAUUAGCUAGUUGGUAAGGUAACGGCUUACCAAGGCAACGAUGCGUAGCCGACCUGAGAGGGUGAUCGGCCACACUGGAACUGAGCCACGGUCCAGCUUCCUCCGGGAGGCAGCAGUAGGGAAUCUUCCGCAAUGGGCGAAAGCCUGACGGAGCAACGCCGCGUGAGUGAUGAAGGUCUUCGGAUCGUAAAACUCUGUUAUUAGGGAAGAACAAAUGUGUAAGUAACUAUGCACGUCUUGACGGUACCUAAUCAGAAAGCCACGGCUAACUACGUG
rnacentral:rRNA from 1 species